GCCUGGGUGGCUCAGUCGGUUGAGCGUCCAACUUCAACUCAGGUCAUGAUCUCGCAGUUCGUGGGUUCGAGCCCCGCGUCGGGCU
rfam:Felis catus isolate Cinnamon breed Abyssinian chromosome A2, whole genome shotgun sequence.